AUCGCUGUAGUAUAACGGUUAAUGCGGCGGCCUUUUAAGCCGACAAUGCGAGUUCAAUUCUCGCCAGCGAUA
rnacentral:tRNA from 1 species